UGACUUUUAUCACCAUCUUCAUCUGGACACUUGUCUUCUACAUCAAGGAAUCAAGAGGACAGAUCACUGCGACUCAGACUCCUACAAUGAAAGCUGUUCUCUCAGGACAGCCAGUCUCUCUGAACUGUAGAACCAGUAGUAAUGUAUAUGGGAACACACUCCAUUCUGGGACUCCAUCUAGAUUCAGUGGCAGUGGAUCUGGGAGUGACUUCACUCUGACCAUCAGUGGAGUCCAGGCUGAAGAUGCAGGAGAUUACUACUGUCAGAGUUUACACUACCCCAACAGUGUCUGGGUGU